UACGGCCACAUCAUGUUGAAACAUUGGUUCCCGUACGAUCACCGAAGUUAAGCAAUGUUGAGUCUAGUCAGUGCCUAGAUAAAUGACCGUUUGAGAAUAAUAAGUGUUGUAAG